UCAGUUCGGAUUGGAGUCUGCAACCCGACUCCAUGAAGCUGGAUUCGCUAGUAAUCGCGCAUCAGCCACGGCGCGGUGAAUACGUUCCCGGGCCUUGUACACACCGCCCGUCAAGCCAUGGAAGCCGGGGGGUGCCUGAAGUGCGCUGCCGCAAGGAGCGCCCUAGGGUAAAACCGGUGACUGGGGCUAAGUCGUAACAAGGUAAC
rnacentral:rRNA from 1 species